GAUGAACGCUCGCUACAGGCUUAACACAUGCAAGUCGAGGGGCAGCAUGACCUAGCAAUAGGUUGAUGGCGACCGGCGCACGGGUGAGUAACACGUAUCCAACCUGCCGAUUAUUCCGGGAUAGCCUUUCGAAAGAAAGAUUAAUACUGGAUAGCAUAACGAGAAGGCAUCUUCUUGUUAUUAAAGAAUUUCGAUAAUCGAUGGGGAUGCGUUCCAUUAGUUUGUUGGCGGGGUAACGGCCCACCAAGACAUCGAUGGAUAGGGGUUCUGAGAGGAAGGUCCCCCACAUUGGAACUGAGACACGGUCCAAACUCCUACGGGAGGCAGCAGUGAGGAAUAUUGGUCAAUGGACGAGAGUCUGAACCAGCCAAGUAGCGUGAAGGAUGACUGCCCUAUGGGUUGUAAACUUCUUUUAUAUGGGAAUAAAGUGGGCCACGUGUGGCUUUUUGUAUGUACCAUACGAAUAAGGAUCGGCUAACUCCGUG
rnacentral:rRNA from 1 species